GUAUAAUUACCUAAUUGAAACCUGCUCUUAGUAAAGAGAGAAGUAGAAUAGCUUGAUGUUAUCAAGGUUAGACUUCUAAAUCUAAGGUGCCUAAGCAAUGAUGGCUAAGUGGUACUUAGUGAAUCUACUUUCAAGUUACCUUGAGGCUAUGUGAGAAGAAUAGACCCUGAUGAGCUACUGGUUUGUAAAAUCCUUUUUUCUUGUUUUGUCCACCUAUUUACAGGACAGCAUAUACAGAAUAUAGUGUCUAACCCCAAGAUGCUAAUGUGCUAUUUUCUGGGUCUGGGGAAGAACUUUAAAGGCUUUUGUAGGGAAAUUUUUGCUUAGACCUGUACAAAUUACCAACAGCUGUUCAUUCAAUAGCAGAGGUGAUGACAUCUUGCAUUGGAUUAGAAAGAAUAAAUCCCUUUAUAUAUUUGAAAUUUAUACAUUUGGUGUGCCCUUUCUACAGAAAAAAGUGAUUAACAAUAUCUAAAGAAAAAAAGAUAUUUGUGAUAAUUACAUAGUAGUUAAAUGAUUGACAUUCAGAAUGGAUUCUCUUAUCUAUCAAUAAGACCCUACAAAUAACCAAGAGAAUAAAAAUAAACCUGAAAAAAUAAACGUGAAAUAAAUAAACGUGAAAAAAUGCUAAAUUAUACCAGUAAAUCAGAGAUAAACAAAGUGAAAUAAGAAAAUACUGUCGCUUAUCAGAUUAGCAAAGACUUAAAAGCCUGACAACAUCCAGCAAUGGAAAGAGUAUGGAGAGGUGGGUACCCAAAUGCAUUGACAGUGAGAACAUAAGUGAUGUGACCAUUUCAGUGAGCAAUUUGCCGAUCUGCAAAAUUACAAAGGCACCUAGUAAUCACCUGUGUAGUAUGCAAAAGGCGAAAAAUUGGAGAUGGCAUAAUAUAAUAUUUUAC
rnacentral:lncRNA from 1 species